GCACUGUUUUUCUAAGUUGAAUGUUACUCUUAAGUAUAGUUUUGUUUUCUGGAUGAGUUCUUAGUAAUUGGAACAUUCUUUAGGAAGAUGCAUUGCUUUUGUAUUGUAUACCAUGGUAUUCUUCACUACUUUUCCAACCAACAGCAAAAUUAUAGGUCAGAUAUUGUUGCUUAAAGCACUGGCUGAAGAUAUGCUCUCAAAAAACGGAAAAUAAAUGGCUUGAUUUGUGAAGAUAUAAUAAUAUAAUACAGUUUGUGAAAGAUAUGAUCUAACUGAAGAUGUGAACUUUAUAAAUUUAUUACAUUUUGAGACUAUAUUUUGACAAAUUUCUCAAAAAACUGCAAUGGCAGUAUAUUAUUGAAUACGAUGCUUUAGGCUAUCUGUGCAUUUUAGCAUUGACUCUUCUAGUUUCUUUCUCUCAUAGUCAAGCCACUGUAAUUUUUAAGACAGGAAGAUGUUUACUGUUUUAUUGUGGGUUUCAGCAUGAUGAUGGAGAUCUGUAGGAUGUUGUAGGAUUGCUAUCUGUAACUAGCAGCAUGUCCUGUGUUGACAAUCCUAAAGGUUUUGUUUCCCCUUUGUUUAAAUGCAAAUUCACAGAUAUGCACACAGACCAAAAGUAAUGGGUUUUGUUAUUCUUAGCAUGUUUAUACGUUUUUGUCACUAUUCAUAUUGGAUGCACUUUUGAGUAUAUUGGGAUAAUUGUGAGGGCGGACUGUCAUCAUGGUCUGUAAAUGCUAUAAGUUAGUUUUGAUAUGAAAUUUGGGGUGUUAUCAACCAUUAACAGCUAGCAGUGAGGCUAUAAUUCCAUAAGCUGCUGCAUCACUGAAAAGAGCAGCAAAGGUUUUUGAUUUUCACAUUUAGGGGUUGUAGAGAUUCUUUCACAAAAUUUAUUAAGCCAUUAGAUCACCUGAGAUUAUAUCUUCCUGUUUCUGAAGUAAUGUUUU